AUUGAACGCUGGCGGCAGGCCUAACACAUGCAAGUCGGGCGAGAGGCGGACGGGUGAGUAAUGUAUGGGGAUCUGCCUGAUGGCGGGGGAUAACUACUGGAAACGGUAGCUAAUAACGCAUACCAUCAGAUGAACCCAUAUGGGAUUAGAUAGUAGGUGAGGUAACGGCUUACCUAGGCGACGAUCCCUAGCUGGUCUGAGAGGAUGAUCAGCCACACUUGGACUGAGACACGGCCCAGACUCCUACGGGAGGCAGCAGUGGGGAAUAUUGCACAAUGGGCGCAAGCCUGAUUCAGCCAUGCCGCGUGUAUGAAGAAGGCCUUCGUGUUGUAAAGUACUUUCAGUCGGGAGGCGUUACCGACAGAAGAAGCACCGGCUAACUCCGUGCCAGCAGCCGCGGUAAUAC
rnacentral:rRNA from 1 species